UACAGAGGGGGCAAGCGUUGUUCGGAAUUACUGGGUGUAAAAGGGUUCGUAGGCGGUGCGGCAAGUUGGGAGUGAAAUCUCUGGGCUUAACCCAGAGGCUGCUUCCAAAACUGCUGUGCUUGAGUGUGGGAGAGGCGCGUGGAAUUGCAGGUGUAGCGGUGAAAUGCGUAGAUAUCUGCAGGAACACCCGUGGCGAAAGCGGCGCGCUGGACCACUACUGACGCUGAGGAACGAAAGCUAGGGGAGCAAACAGG
rnacentral:rRNA from 1 species